rnacentral:lncRNA from 1 species
GGAAAAAAGGAUUAAUAUCUUAGUAAAAAUACAGUAAAGGAACAUACGAGAUAGACAUGUAAAAUCAUGCUUAUAGAAACCAGUAGAAGGAAGAACAUAGCACAGAAUAGAAGCACAAUCAUAACACGGCAAACAAAAGAACACAAGAGAAAAACUCAUAAGAACAUGGCAUAGACAGAUUCAUUCAAAGAAAAGAGGAGGAAGAGACAAAAAUCGUUUUGAGACUUUUCCAGAAAUCCCUAAAUCGAAAACAAACUAACUUUGAAAUAAAAAUUGGGGGAAAAGUUUAAAAGAUUGAAGAUAGCAUAGAUUCACCACAUAUCUAGGAACAUAAAAUAAGAAGGAACCUCAAUAGAUUUAGGGUUUCUCUAAAACCCUAGAAAUGAGAAGGCUUGGAAGAAAUUCCGGUCUCGAGUCAGAAAUGGCCAUAGCUAGGCUCAUGAAGCUCGAAUAAGCCGGAGUGAAGCUGCAGAGGCCCUACAACCACUGAUCUGUAGAGGAUCUGAACAAACUCCAUCGAGGACAGACCUCAAAAUCUCAAACUCCCAUGGUUUAGGAGUAAAGGAAGGUAAGUACAGGCUGUCCAUCGCCUGGAAAGCCAUGGAUUCCGGUGAGAUUAUGCUUGGAGCAGGGUGAGAAGGGCUAGAGUUUCGAGACCCUUCAAUAGAGUUUGAGAGAAAGAGAGAUUUCAG